UGGGGAAUAUUGCACAAUGGGCGCAAGCCUGAUGCAGCCAUGCCGCGUGUAUGAGAAGGCCUUCGGGUUGUAAAGUACUUUCAGCGAGGAGGAAGGCGUUGUGGUUAAUAACCGCAGCGAUUGACGUUACUCGCAGAAGAAGCACCGGCUAACUCCGUGCCAGCAGCCGCGGUAAUACGGAGGGUGCAAGCGUUAAUCGGAAUUACUGGGCGUAAAGCGCACGCAGGCGGUCUGUCAAGUCGGAUGUGAAAUCCCCGGGCUCAACCUGGGAACUGCAUCCGAAACUGGCAGGCUAGAGUCUUGUAGAGGGGGGUAGAAUUCCAGGUGUAGCGGUGAAAUGCGUAGAGAUCUGGAGGAAUACCGGUGGCGAAGGCGGCCCCCUGGACAAAGACUGACGCUCAGGUGCGAAAGCGUGGGGAGCAAACA
rnacentral:rRNA from 1 species